rnacentral:tRNA from 1 species
CCGGGAUUGGCGAAAUUGGUAGACGCACCAGACUUAGGAUCUGGCGCUUAAUCGCGUGAGGGUUCGAGUCCCUUGUCCCGGACCA